UGCAUUCACCGAAAGAAGCUUAGUGGCGAACGGGUGAGUAACACGUAGGCAACCUGCCCAAAAGAGGGGGAUAACACUUGGAAACAGGUGCUAAUACCGCAUAACCAUGAACACCGCAUGAUGUUCAUGUAAAAGACGGCUUUUGCUGUCACUUUUGGAUGGGCCUGCGGCGUAUUAACUUGUUGGUGGGGUAACGGCCUACCAAGGUGAUGAUACGUAGCCGAACUGAGAGGUUGAUCGGCCACAUUGGGACUGAGACACGGCCCAAACUCCUACGGGAGGCAGCAGUAGGGAAUCUUCCACAAUGGACGAAAGUCUGAUGGAGCAACGCCGCGUGAAUGAAGAAGGCCUUCGGGUCGUAAAAUUCUGUUGUCAGAGAAGAACGUGCGUGAGAGUAACUGUUCACGUAUUGACGGUAUCUGACCAGAAAGCCACGGCUAACUACGUGCCAGCAGCCGCGGUAAUACGUAGGUGGCAAGCGUUGUCCGGAUUUAUUGGGCGUAAAGGGAACGCAGGCGGUCUUUUAAGUCUGAUGUGAAAGCCUUCGGCUUAACCGAAGUAGUGCAUUGGAAACUGGAAGACUUGAGUGCAGAAGAGGAGAGUGGAACUCCAUGUGUAGCGGUGAAAUGCGUAGAUAUAUGGAAGAACACCAGUGGCGAAAGCGGCUCUCUGGUCUGUAACUGACGCUGAGGUUCGAAAGCGUGGGUAGCAAACAGGAUUAGAUACCC
rnacentral:rRNA from 1 species